UACGGGGGGGGCAAGCGUUGUUCGGAAUUACUGGGUGUAAAGGGCUCGUAGGCGGCCAAUUAAGUCAGACGUGAAAUCCCUCGGCUUAACCGGGGAACUGCGUCUGAUACUGGAUGGCUUGAAUCCGGGAGAGGGAUGCGGAAUUCCAGGUGUAGCGGUGAAAUGCGUAGAUAUCUGGAGGAACACCGGUGGCGAAGGCGGCAUCCUGGACCGGCAUUGACGCUGAGGAGCGAAAGCCAGGGGAGCAAACGGG
rnacentral:rRNA from 1 species